UACGGAAGGUCCAAGCGUUAGAUCGGAAUUACUGGGCGUAAAGCGCGCGUAGGUGGAUUAUAAGUUGGAUGUGAAAGCCCCGGACUCAACCUGGGAACUGCCUCCAAAACUGAUUCACUAGAGUACGAGAGAGGGAAGUGGAAUUCCCAGUGUAGAGGUGAAAUGCGUAGAUAUUGGGAAGAAUACCAGUGGCGAAGGCGGCCUCCUGGUUCUGUACUGACACUGAGGUGCGAAAGCGUGGGUAGCGAACAGGAUUAGAUACCCUGGUAGUCCACGCCGUAAACGAUGACUGCCAGCUGUUGGAAAGCAUUGUUUUUCAGGGGCGCACUUAAGGACUUAAGUUGCCCGCCGGGGAAGAACGGCCGCAGAGUAAAAAUUCAAAUGAUUUGACGGGGACCCGCACAAGGGGGGAAGCAGGGGUUUUAAUUCAAUGCACCGGGAAAAACCUUACCUACUCUUGACUUCCGUGGAAUCUCUUGAAAUGAAAGAGUGCCUUUUGGAACCAAGUGACAGGUGCUGCAUGGCUGUCGUCAGCUCGUGUCGUGAGAUGUUCCGUUAAGUCGGAUAACGAGCGCAACCCUUUCCCUCAUCGACCACCGGUUCCACCGGGAACUAUAAGCGGAUCGCCGGGGCUAAAUCGGAGGAAGGUGAGGGAGACGUCAAGUCAUCAUGGGCCUUACGACUAGGCCUCCACACGCGCUCCAAUGGGAAGUCCAGAGGGACGCCAAAGCGCGAGCAGGAGCUAAUCUCAUAAAACUCAUCGUAGUUCGGAUUGCAGUCUGCAACUCGACUGCAUGAAGUCGGAAUCGCUAGUAAUCGCGGAUCAGCACGCCGCGGUGAAUACGUUCUCGGGUCU
rnacentral:rRNA from 1 species